rnacentral:rRNA from 1 species
GAUGAACGCUGGCGGCUUGCCUAAUACAUGCAAGUCGAGCGAACGGACGAGAAGCUUGCUUCUCUGAUGUUAGCGGCGGACGGGUGAGUAACACGUGGAUAACCUACCUAUAAGACUGGGAUAACUUCGGGAAACCGGAGCUAAUACCGGAUAAUAUUUUGAACCGCAUGGUUCAAAAGUGAAAGACGGUCUUGCUGUCACUUAUAGAUGGAUCCGCGCUGCAUUAGCUAGUUUGUAAGGUAACGGCUUACCAAGGCAACGAUGCAUAGCCGACCUGAGAGGGUGAUCGGCCACACUGGAACUGAGACACGGUCCAGACUCCUACGGGAGGCAGCAGUAGGGAAUCUUCCGCAAUGGGCGAAAGCCUGACGGAGCAACGCCGCGUGAGUGAUGAAGGUCUUCGGAUCGUAAAACUCUGUUAUUAGGGAAGAACAUAUGUGUAAGUAACUGUGCACAUCUUGACGGUACCUAAUCAGAAAGCCACGGCUAACUACGUG